CCUACGGGAGACAGCAGUGAGGAAUAUUGGUCAAUGGACGAAAGUCUGAACCAGCCAAGUAGCGUGAAGGAUGACUGCCCUAUGGGUUGUAAACUUCUUUUAUACGGGGAUAAAAUGAGCCACGUGUGGCAUUUUGUAUGUACCGUAUGAAUAAGGAUCGGCUAACUCCGUGCCAGCAGCCGCGGUAAUACGGAGGAUCCGGGCGUUAUCCGGAUUUAUUGGGUUUAAAGGGAGCGUAGGUCGCUUCUUAAGUCAGUUGUGAAAUUUUGCGGCUCAACCGUAAAACUGCAGCUCAAACUGGGAGUCUUGAGUACGGUAGAGGUAGGCGGAAUUCGUGGUGUAGCGGUGAAAUGCUUAGAUAUCACGAAGAACUCCGAUUGCGAAGGCAGCCUACUGGACCGUAACUGACACUGAGGCUCGAAAGUGUGGGUAUCAAACAGGAUUAGAUACCCUAGUAGUC
rnacentral:rRNA from 1 species